rnacentral:rRNA from 1 species
CGUAGGGGGCAAGCGUUGUCCGGAAUCAUUGGGCGUAAAGAGCGUGUAGGCGGCCCGAUAAGUCCGCUGUGAAAGUCCAGGGCUCAACCCUGGAAUGCCGGUGGAUACUGUCGGGCUCGAGUCCGGAAGAGGUGAGUGGAAUUCCUGGUGUAGCGGUGAAAUGCGCAGAUACCAGGAGGAACACCAAUGGCGAAGGCAGCUCACUGGGACGGUACUGACGCUGAGACGCGAAAGCGUGGGGAGCAAACAGGAUUAGAUACCCUGGUAGUCCACGCCGUAAACGAUGGUCACUAGGUGUGGGGGGUGUCGACUCCCUCCGUGCCGGAGCUAACGCAUUAAGUGACCCGCCUGGGGAGUACGGCCGCAAGGCUA